rnacentral:rRNA from 1 species
CCCUAUGGGGCGCAGCAUAUGGACCUGUAGCCUUUCUGUGGAUUGUUGUUGGUAAUAUUUUUGCAGGUACCGUACACGAUUACUUUUCCGGGAUGAUUUCAAUCCGAAUGGGUGGACUGAGUAUCCCGGAGAUUAUUGGAAAAUACCUAGGAUUAAACGUAAAGCAAUUUAUGCGAGGGUUCACCCUUUUAUUGAUGAUUCUGGUUGGAGCGGCUUUUAUUUCUGGACCUUCGGCAUUACUUGCAGCCCUCACUCCCGAAGCGCUAACAAAAAACUUCUGGGUAUGGAUUAUUCUAUUUUACUACGUUCUUGCAACACUGCUCCCUAUCGAUAAAAUUAUUGGAAGAAUAUAUCCAAUAUUUGGAUUAGCGCUACUAAUAAUGGCCGUUGGAAUUGGCGGGAGGGC